rnacentral:rRNA from 1 species
GAUGAACGCUGGCGGCGUGCCUAAUACAUGCAAGUCGAGCGAACAGACGAGGAGCUUGCUCCUCUGACGUUAGCGGCGGACGGGUGAGUAACACGUGGAUAACAUACCUAUAAGACUGGGAUAACUUCGGGAAACCGGAGCUAAUACCGGAUAAUAUAUUGAACCGCAUGGUUCAAUAGUGAAAGACGGUUUUGCUGUCACUUAUAGAUGGAUCCGCGCCGCAUUAGCUAGUUGGUAAGGUAACGGCUUACCAAGGCAACGAUGCGUAGCCGACCUGAGAGGGUGAUCGGCCACCCUGCAACGGCGACACGGUCCAGACUCCUACGGGAGGCAGCAGUAGGGAAUCUUCCGCAAUGGGCGAAAGCCUGACGGAGCAACGCCGCGUGAGUGAUGAAGGUCUUCGGAUCGUAAAACUCUGUUAUUAGGGAAGAACAAAUGUGUAAGUAACUAUGCACGUCUUGACGGUACCUAAUCAGAAAGCCACGGCUAACUACGUG